GUGGGGAAUAUUGGACAAUGGGCGCAAGCCUGAUCCAGCCAUGCCGCGUGUGUGAAGAAGGCCUUCGGGUUGUAAAGCACUUUCAGUUGGGAGGAAGGCCUGUAAGUUAAUACCUUGCAGGAUUGACGUUACCAACAGAAGAAGCACCGGCUAACUCCGUGCCAGCAGCCGCAGUAAUACGGAGGGUGCAAGCGUUAAUCGGAAUUACUGGGCGUAAAGCGCGCGUAGGUUGUUAGUUAAGCGAGAUGUGAAAUCCCCGGGCUUAACCUGGGAAUUGCGUUUCGAACUGGCUGACUAGAGUACGGUAGAGGGUGGUGGAAUUUCAGGUGUAGCGGUGAAAUGCGUAGAGAUCUGAAGGAACAUCAGUGGCGAAGGCGACCACCUGGACUGAUACUGACACUGAGGUGCGAAAGCGUGGGGAGCAAACAGGAUUAGAUACCCCUGUAGUCC
rnacentral:rRNA from 1 species